rnacentral:rRNA from 1 species
GUGUGCUGUGAGGCAUGCUGGAGGUAUCAGAAGUGCGAAUGCUGACAUAAGUAACGAUAAAGCGGGUGAAAAGCCCGCUCGCCGGAAGACCAAGGGUUCCUGUCCAACGUUAAUCGGGGCAGGGUGAGUCGACCCCUAAGGCGAGGCCGAAAGGCGUAGUCGAUGGGAAACAGGUUAAUAUUCCUGUACUUGGUGUUACUGCGAAGGGGGGACGGAGAAGGCUAUGUUGGCCGGGCGACGGUUGUCCCGGUUUAAGCGUGUAGGCUGGUUUUCCAGGCAAAUCCGGAAAAUCAAGGCUGAGGCGUGAUGACGAGGCACUACGGUGCUGAAGCAACAAAUGCCCUGCUUCCAGGAAAAGCCUCUAAGCAUCAGGUAACAUCAAAUCGUACCCCAAACCG